rnacentral:rRNA from 1 species
UACGUAGGGGGCAAGCGUUGUCCGGAUUUACUGGGCGUAAAGAGCGUGUAGGCGGCCAAGCAGGUCCGUUGUGAAAACUGGAGGCUUAACCUCCAGACGUCGACGGAAACCGCGUGGCUAGAGUCCGGAAGAGGAGAGUGGAAUUCCUGGUGUAGCGGUGAAAUGCGCAGAUAUCAGGAAGAACACCGGUGGCGAAAGCGCUCUGCUGGACCUUAACUGACACUGAGGGACGAAAGCUAGGGGAGCGAAUGGG